UACGUAGGGGGCAAGCGUUAUCCGGAUUUACUGGGUGUAAAGGGAGCGUAGACGGAAUUGCAAGUCUGAUGUGAAAACCCGGGGCCCAACCCCGGGAGUGCAUUUGAAACUGCCUGACUGGAGUGCUGGAGAGGCAAGCGGAAUUCCUAGUGUAGCGGUGAAAUGCGUAGAUAUUAGGAAGAACACCAGUGGCGAAGGCGGCUUGCUGGACAGUAACUGACGUUGAGGCUCGAAAGCGUGGGGAGCAAACAGG
rnacentral:rRNA from 1 species